ACCCAAUCCGACUCACUGGCUCAUCUUUGGCUUUUGUGUGGUGUCUUCACUGAGUAAAGCCACGACAGAGGAAUGGAACCACAGUCUCCUCCUGAGUCCACAUCGUCCCCAGUGCAAACACGUGUUGCAAAGGAUUUCAGUUUUACUAUUGCAGUCAGUAGAGAAACCAACUGGGGAUAAGUUUGAAGGACGUGCUGCUGAUCUUAGAUGCCUUCUUGAAGUCAACCACAUAAGCAGAAAGAGUCUUCAGAGAAGUAACUAAAGAGAACCUGGAAUUGCUAUUGUCAUUGUGAGCAGAGAAGAGUCACAACAUUCUCUCAACAUGCAUACAAAGGAGAAAACCUAUGAGAAUACACUGAGAAGAUUACCACCUGCGAGCCAACAAGAGAAAUCUCUCCUUGAGUCAACUUGGCUGAAUCCUGACCUUAGACUUUAAAUCUCCAGAACAUUGAAAUAUAAAUUUCUAUUGCUUAACAUAUCUAAAAAGCAAUAAUUUUUCAUAGCAGGUUCAUAUCUCUAUCUAUGACUAAUUAUCUAUUUUAUACCUUAUAAUAUAUUUAGCAUUAAUGCUCCAUGGACAGUGAUUAGAUCACACAUUUGUGUAGUUCAUCCUUCAUAUUUCAUCACUUCACAGGUUUAAGUGAAAGAAGCCAAUCAUGUAAACUUGUCUUGUAGAUUUGAACCAAGAUCCAAAGAGGUUCAAAGACUGGGCCAGAAGAGAAGAGCAGAUGUGGAUCCCAAGGCCCACCUCCAGCCACAAGGGUCUGGUGCUUCCAACACUUCACUGGGCAAUGUGGGAAAUGAAUGUUUCACCAUUCUUGUUGUUAAUCACCAUUUCUUAUUUUCAUAACAUUGUAUGAUGGAACAUAACUAUGGAAACUGAAUAAUUAAAACUAUCUCCUAAUAGAGCAGGAAAAAAUAAUACAACAUCAUAUACAAAAAAUGAUAUAGAAAUUCAACUUUCUCAAGAUAUGACAAGGCAAAUGUAUUGAGCAAAUGUUAUUUUUUAACUUCUCAUACAAAAUGCUGUAUUAUUUCCAUGUGUAAAAGGGAAAAUGUAAACCUAUUUAUGCACUUUUAUUUUUAAUGAAAAGCUAUCUCAGGUGGCUCAAGGACAUGCCUGUGUCCCUCCAUCUGUCAAAUCAGGCUGUGCAGGCGAUUCACUGCUCUGUGGUAGGGAUACAAUGUGCAAAUGAUGGGAGCUGGAACCAUCAAUAAACUUGUCCCCGUGAAAAUGAUGACAGAAUCUCUUGCUAUUAUUUAGAGCUAUUUAAACAGCUAACUCAAAAGGAUGCCAGCUGGUGACCUUGUUGCUAGACUCAGAAAGAAGAAAAUAAUUAAAUUAGCAUGACUUUUCAAAUUCAUUCUCACUUGGUAGAGGUCUGGAAUUGAUCAUCAUGGCAGCAUGUGAAAACUUGCUUCAUAGUGUUUGGCGACAGUACUAUUCAAUAGAUGAACAGCAUGCAAAGGCUGAUGAUAAUGUCAAUUGUCAUUUUUAUUAAGUUUACUCAGUCAAAACUCAGACCUACAAGUUCGAUCACAGAGUCUCAGUUUCCUUCUAUUUCAAAGAUGAAGGAUAAUUAAACUCCACCAAAAUCUCCACUGAAGAGAGGCGUCUUAAUGCAGUCAAGGUGUGCAUCGGUCCUCACCUUAACCUCAUUCCAGCUGUUCUUCUCACCUGUAUUGUGUUUAAAAACAAAAUGUGACUGGCUGUAGAACAGUGUGAAAAGAAAGUAUUAGGAUAACACACACACUAUUGUCUGAUCUUUUGUAGUUUAUUACAUUUAUUACAUUCUUCCUUACCUUUUUUCCUCAUAAAAAUAAACCAAUGAAUU
rnacentral:lncRNA from 1 species